rnacentral:rRNA from 1 species
UACGGAGCGGGCUAGCGUUGUUCGGAAUUACUGGGCGUAAAGCGCACGUAGGCGGACUGGAAAGUCAGAGGUGAAAUCCCAGGGCUCAACCUUGGAACUGCCUUUGAAACUCCCGGUCUUGAGGUCGAGAGAGGUGAGUGGAAUUCCGAGUGUAGAGGUGAAAUUCGUAGAUAUUCGGAGGAACACCAGUGGCGAAGGCGGCUCACUGGCUCGAUACUGACGCUGAGGUGCGAAAGCGUGGGGAGCAAACAGG